AAUUUGUAAACAUAAUUAGUGUGUGUGUGUGUAAAAGAAAUGAUAUAUCAAGUGGCGAUCUGAUCUAGGAUUUUGAUUUGAUUAAAGUCGGAGAUAACAAGAGAAUUUAUAAUUAAAAGUAUGUUAAUGCCGCUGUUGGCAACUUGUCCUAGAAUUUAAUCCUGAAUUAUGAGUCUCAAUUGGAAAAUUUUGCUUGAUGUAUUCAUCAUUUUGUUUAUUAUUUGACUGCUAUUAUAUAUAACAUGCGCCCAUGCAUGCAUGUGUCAGUACUCAGUCCAAGAUUUCCGCCGGCGGAGUUUUCAGUUGGAGGGCUGGUAUCGGUUGCAAAAACAAACGUCAUGCCAUCUGCAGAAUCCGUUGUAUUUGGGUAGGGUGAGAUCCUAAUGGUGAAGGUGGUACUAAUCAUAGCUGGCCAUGCAGUCACAGGCUGGCUGUAUAAAACCCGUCCAACCUUUUUUAGCGGCAGCUGAUCUGGCGAUUCUGGUGAAGGGUCUGAUGUGAGGCUCAAGUAGCCAUAACUUGGAGUCACUGCGCCCAUGCAAAUUAGGCUGCCAUCGCUACAACUUUUUGGGUUGAAUGAGGAAAAUGAGAAGCUAACAGGUGGAUCCACAGGGAUUGAUGAAGAAGCACUGGGAAGAAAAAUUGAAAGGAGUAGUAGGAAAAUCAUUUUGUUUGGGACGAAAAUUUGAGGGCUACUUCUCGAAUGGCAUUGCUCAACAUCACAUGUACUUAUAUAGCAUUUAUUUUACUUUAUGGAUAAAAGUUUUCCCCUAAUCUCAUCUUUUAUUUGAGUAAAUAUAUUUGUAUGAUUUAUAAUUGGUAAUAGAAAAUAUAACAAUUAAGUAAAUCUUAUUCAUGUAUUAAAUAUAUAUAUAUAUAUAAAUUUAAAACAUAUAUAAAAAUAUCUUUAUCUAUUAAGUUGUGCUUUUUUCCCAAAAAAAAAAAAGUUGUGCCGAAUUCACGUUCGCAUAUAUUUUAUUUGAGUUUUUUCCUAAUCUAAUAUGAUAUUUUAUUUGAGUAAAUAUAUUUGUAAGAUUAAUAAUUAGUAAAGGAUAAUAUAAUAAUUAAAUAAAUUUUAAUCAUGUAUUAAUAUAUAUAGUCUCUGAUUGGAAUAGCCUCUUUUAAUUUUUUUUGGUUUGGCUGCACAUGGUGGGCUCCACCAUGUGCAGCCACAGCUGGCCACCAGCCUCUCUCCCGGAUAUUGUUCCAAUUCGGAAUCCCGGAUUGAAACAGUACUAUAUAUAUAAACUUGAAGUAUAUAUUAAAAUAUCUUUAUCUAUUCAGUUGUGCCUUUUUUUCAAAAAAACUUUUUUGCCAAAUUCACGUUUGCUAAAUAGGCCGACAAUAUAGGUGUGCAAUUAAGUAGGGAUGACAAUGGGGAGGGGAUCAACAUUCCCAUACCCAUUCCCGAUAUUCUGCAUAUGUCCCCAUCCACUUUUUGUUCUCGUCAGAAUUAUUUGAGGGAAUCUUCGUCCCCUCCCCGAAUAAUAACAAGAGAUCUCCGAAGGUCUCUAAUCCCUGAAUAACUGAAUUUUUUGUUUGUUUUCAAACUUAAUUUAAUCAUAUUAACUUAAAAAUAUAUAAAAUGAAAGUGAAAUUGAUCAUGAAUAUUUCAUUCUACUCCUUCAAACUUUUGGUAUAUAUAUUAUUCAAAUAAUGAUUUUCAAAAUAAAAUUUAAAUAAUGUGAUUUUUAUACAAUAUUUACGUGAUUGUUGUUUAUGAGUAAUGAUGCCUGCUGAUCACCAGCUAUGGCGCAACAAAUCCCCAUGUGUGGCUGCUAGUUGACGUUGCGAUGAGUUAGGCUACUUAGCCACUAACAACGCAACAUGCUAAUUGACGUUGCUAUGAAAGAGUACUCUAUCUUAAAUCGGUUCCAACAUAAUCAAAUGGCUCUAAAGUAGCCAUAGCUAUCAGUUAAUUAAGCUAGUAUGCUUGUGUGUCUGAGAUCUAGGGGGCUGAUAUAUGAUGAGCCUUUGGCCGGCAAAGACAAGCAAAUCAUUGAAAAAUGACAAUGUUUUUACGAAGACAUGAAUAUACGUUAUAAUUUCGUGACUUGAAUUUAAUCCCUUCAAUCCGCAUCAUGAAUAUAGGAGUGGCUCUUGGAUCUCACACGUGCCGUGUUUCUUCAUCUUGGAAAUUGAUGAUUAUCUUAUCUUCGACGGCGCCAAAGCAACGGAACAUUGUGAUUCACUUAAAUAUUCACGUUUUUUUUAGGCUAUUUUAGAUUUCAAUUUUAUAUACUCUUUAGGAUAAUAUAAUUUUCUGGACUGUGUGAACUAUAAUUUAGAAUUUUAGAUAAUUCAAUUGUACAUCGUGAGCGAAUUCUCUUUUUAACAUAUCAAUUCAAUUGUACGGCAUUAGAAUAACAUACUGGAGAUUUGAUCAGAACUCCAAAAUACAUCCAGUUAACGAAAUGGGAUUUGAAUAUUAAUUUCACACAACAACGUUACUUUUGACAAGAUAUUGAGUUACUUUCAAAAUUAAAUCUAAAAAUGAAACACUCAAAGCGAUAUUGACAUUAAAUAAUUUAUGUUGCAAAAUGAUGAUAUCAAUUGAUUUUUUUUCAUGUUAAUAAAAAAAUUAGAGACGAGUUUCAAUUCAAAAUUAAAUCCAACAAGAAACUAAUAGUUUUAAGAGUACAUUUCACAAAAACCACGUAGACAUAUAUUAUAUGACUUAAAUUUUACAUUCGGUAAAUAUUAAAUUUUACAUGGAAAAAUGUGGUUUUUAAAAAAUAUUAUCUUAUAGAUUUUAUUAAAUUAUUAACACGUUGGCCCUAAGUAAGAAAUAACAAAAACUAUUAUUUAAUUAAGAUUAUUAAUUUAUCAAGCAUUAAGAUCGUAUUGUAAUUAACUGGUCUUUUCUCAAUGCAAAAUAAAUUAACAAAUCAUAUAAAUGAAGUGACAUAUGGCAUACUACAAUUUCUUUCUUAGCUAAUCUGGCGAGGAUAUUGUAAAAGCAAAAUAAAAAUAUGAUCGGCCUAAGGCCUAAUUUAUACAAAAUAUUUAAUAACAUAAAAGCAAGUAAUCAAGCAUCGAAAUUAGGGAUUCGUCUUCCAAUAUAUAAGCAUGUUAUAUUGGCAAUGAUUUUGUCAUAUAUAAAUGUCAUUAUGGAUAUAGUCAAAUAUAUCCUGAUUUAGAAAGACUUUUGAUGUGGAUUCUUAUCAGAUACUUCAUUUUUAUUAUCCAUAGAUGUCAGAAUGAAUUUUCAUGCGAAUUUUGGAGUCCACAACGUUGUGAAACUCUAAAUUCACACAAUAUCAGUACGAACAUCGAAUGAGAAAAUGAAUGUACAUGAUAUUUCUAACGGUGCGUUUACUUUUCGGAUUCGGGAAUCAGAAUCCGGAAUCGAAAUAAUUGAUGGCAUUUACUUCGCAAAUAUGAAGUAGGAAUCGGAAUCGGAAUGGUGGGGCCCACCACUAUUUGGGAAUGGGGAAUAGGAGAUUGUUUCCCGUGUAGAGGUGGGAAUGAGUCUCUCAUUCUUAGGAUUAACCAUUUUGCCCUCCCCCAAAAUUAAAAAUGCCAACUUUAUCCUCUUUUAUAAUUAAUUAAUUAAUAUACUAUUAUAGUUAAUUAAUAUAAUAUAUUAUGAUUAAUUAAUGUAUAAAUAUAUUAUUAACUAUAAUUAUUAAAAAUUACAGUUCUUGAAUAAAUAAUCACAAUAAUUAAUAUAUUAUUAUUGUAAUUAAUUAAUUAAUAUACUAUUAUAAUAAUUAUUAAUAAAAUUAUUAUAAGUAAUUCAUAUAUUAUUAAUUAAUUAAUAUAUUUUUACUAAUAAUUAAUAUAUUAUUAACAAUAAUUAUAAUUAUAAUUUUUGAAUAAAUAAUCACAAUAAUUAAUAUAUAUUGUUAUUGUAAUUAAUUAAUUAAUUAAUAUAAUAUUAUAAUAAUAAAAAUAUAAUUAUUAUAAUUAAUUCAUAUAUUAUUAUUAUUAUAAUUAAUAUAAUUAAUUAAAUAAAUAAUAUAAUUAUUACUACUAAUUAAUAUAUUAAUAUAUUAUUAACAAUAAUGAUUAAUAAUUAUAAUUUUGAAUAAAUAAUCAUAAUAAUUAAUAUAUUAUUUUAAUUAAGUAAUUAAUAUUAAUAUUAUUAGUUAAUAUAUUUUUAUAAUAAUUGUUAAUAUAGUUAUUAUAAUUAAUUAAUUACAUUUUUUACAAUUAAUUAAUAUAUUAGUUAAUAAUAAUUAUGACAAUAAACCAUUAAGUAUUUUUUAGUAAUUUGUUACAAUUUAACUCAUUCCGAUUUCGAUUCCAAGACAAAGUAAACAUAUUAAUGACAAUCCAGUUCAUUCCGAUUUCGAUUCCUAUAAUUCAAAUAAACAACUUAUUUGUAUUUUCAUUCCAGCCCAUUCACAUUAUUGUCCAUUCCGAUUCCAGCUCAUUCCAAUUUUAGUUUAGUAAACGCAGCAUAAAUGUCUGGUUAAAUUUUUAUUUUAUGAUUUCCACUAUGAGAAGAGAAUUUUGGUCCGAUAAAGAAGAGAACAAGAGAAAGGAAAAGAAAAAGAAGACAUCAAAAGUUCAAAGCUGCAACGUAAUCAAUAGAAACUGAAUAUGAACAUUUCUACACAAGCACAUACAGUACAUCUCAGAUAGCAAGCCAACAAUAUUAAUCUUCGUCGUUGCUAUCGUUUUAUUCAAUAUUUAUAUACAAAGCCAUUUCACUUUAUUGACGAUAUUAAUUGUUAUUUAUUAUAAUUUAUGUGACAUGGUUUUUCAAGGACAGAUUAGAAUUUUAUUGGCAUCAUCAGGUUUUGCUCCUUGAGGGGAGAACAAGUCAUCCGUAUUUGGAGCAACAAUAAAUAAAAUAAAUAACUCUGUUCGGUGGAAGCAGGCUGAAAAUAGCCCAACUAAACCACUAUAAUUUAGAAGGGGAAGUAAGGCUGCUUGUAUCGUGAGUGAUUGGAUUGUUGAUUAAUUAUUUUUUGAAGUCUCAAAACUUGGUUUCCUUGACGAUCAUCAUGGAAAACUAACGUUUACAAAUUAGUUUGGCAAGUUGGCUUGUAAAUGUAUGAAGGAGAAAAAAAGUAGCCAAAUUAAUGGCUAACCGUUGACGGGAAGACCAUCAAAUUUUCAGAAAUUUUUUCAAAAUCUAGACCCGAGGGUUUUCCAUUAUCAAAAAAAGAAAAAAAACCGAAGCUCUUUCUCUGUGCUAGAUUUUGCAACCGAUGCAGUCUUGACCUCUCGUAAUUAUACCGAUACUUUUUGUGUACUUCUAAUUCCAACUACUUCCUGUAAGCAGCAAUAUCUUGAGACUAUUUUAGGAGUCCUUCACUCAAGUAUAACAAUUAUUCUUGAAAGAUUGAUAAUAAGUCUUUGACUUUGUGUGUUUAACCACGGAUAAUUUUUUGGCUUUUGACAUUUUCACCCUCAUCCUCAAUUCAUCUUCAUCUUCAUCAACAGAACUAACUCAAAUGGUAGCACAUUUCUACUAUGUGUAUCACGUUUAAAACUAUAUCCUUUGGAUUCUAUAAGUUCAAAUCCAACGACCAUUUCAAAUGGGGAUAGAAAAUGGGGUACCUUACCACCACGGUUAAGGUAGGUAGCUGGACCUAUAUGUAUUACGGUAAUUAAUAAAUAUUUUUAUUACUAAUUUCAUUUGUAAUUUAUUUUAAUUAGAUUUGUAAUGAUAAUAGGAAUAUAAAAAAGAACAAAAACUAGAUGCAUUGCAGAGCAAAAAAUAGAAAUUAAUAUAUUAUAAAAAAAAUUCACCAAACACAUUUUUAUUAUUUUGAUAUUUUCAAACAAACUACCAAAUUUACUUUUUAUAUAUAUUUUUUCUUUUUCAUUUGAUAUCUUAUCUUGAAAACAAAAUACCAAAUGCCUUUUCCUUUUAAGAACAUCACACCAAAAAUAUCAUUUUUCUCCUCUAAAAAAAAUUAUAAAAAAGCACAAAAUAAAAAAAAAUAAUGCCAACCACACUCUAAAGGUUUUGUAAUUUGCAAUAUCUGACGCCUAUCAAUGAAUUAAGAUUGUCUAUGUUCUAAGGAGAUGAUAUAUGAUGGGGCUUUGGCCUAUAAAGACAAGCAAAUCAUUGGAAAAUGACAAAAAUGACAAUCUCUUUAUGAAGACAUGAAUACACAUGAUAAUCUCGUGACUUUAAUUUAGUCCAUUCAAAUCGCAUAAUGAUUAUAGGGGAGGCAAAGUCUGUGUUCUAGGAUAUAUGAUGCGGGCUUUGGCCUAUAAAGACAAGCAAAUCAUUGGAAAAUGACAACAAUGACAAUGUUUUUAUGAAGACAUGAAUACACAUGAUAAUCUUGUGACUUUAAUUUAGUCCAUUCAAAUCACAUAAUGAGAUGAUAUAUGAUGGGGCUUUGGCCUAUAAAGACAAGCAAAUAAUUGGAAAAUGACAAAAAUGACAAUGUCUUUAUGAAGACAUGAAUACACAUGAUAAUCUCGUGACUUUAAUUUAGUCCAUUCAAAUCACAUAAUGAAUAUAGGGGAGACAAAGUUUGUGUUCUAGGGAGAUGAUAUAUGAUGCGGGCUUUGGCCUAUAAAGACAAGCAGAUCAUUGGAAAAUGACAAAAAUGACAAUGUCUUUAUGAAGACAUGAAUACACAUGAUAAUCUCGUGACUUUAAUUUAGUCCAUUCAAAUCACAUAAUGAAUAGAGGGGAGACGAAGCAGCAUGUUUCUUCAUCUUAUAAAUUGUUGAUAAUCUCAUCUUGGAUGGUGCUAAAGUAGGAAACAUUUUGAUUCACUUAAAUAUUCACGUUUUUUGAUGCUACCAGAUUUCAAUUUCGUAUAUUCUUAGGAUAAUAUGUCUAUUUUUGACAUAUCAAUUCAAUUGUACUGUGUUAGAAUAACAUAAUGGAACUCCAAAAUAAAUCCAAUAAACGAUAUGGGAUUCCAAUAUUAAUUUCACACAACAAUGUUACUUUUGACAAAAUUGAGUUACUUUCACAACACCUCUUCCACUUCCAUAUAUAUGAAGCGAAUCAAUAACUUAACCCCAUAUAUACCUAAGUCAUAUAUACUCAUUUGUGGCUUCACAAAGUGUUCAUUUCUCUGUUAAUAUGCAAUAAAAUUUUGAUAAAUUAAUAAUUUUGGACAAUAAAUUUUUGUUAAUUUUAUAAAGUUAAUCGAUAGAUUAAUAAAUUAUUGAUUUUGAAGAUAUUCCUUAUUUUAGAAAACAGUAUGAUCACAUUUAUAGCAUUGAUUUGUCUUGAUUUGUAUUUAUUAUGUUUUAUUUGAAUAUUAGUUAAUUGUCUUACAUUCAUAGUAAUAAGCUUAUUAUGGAGUUUUUAUUUUUCCAUGUUAAGAAUGAUGGUUGUACUAUGGAAUCCAUGUUGUACAAAGAACUCAAAGUGAUAUUAUUAUUGAAUAAUUUCUUGUUGCAAAACAACAAUACAAUUAAUUUUUUUUGUACAUUAAGAAAAUUAGAUAUGAGAUUUAAGUCAAAAUUAAUUCCAAAAAGAAACUAGCAAUUUUAAGAGUGUAUCUUACAAAAACCAUAUAUACAUAUACUAUGUCGACUUAGUUUUACAUUAGGUGAUUGUUAAUUAAUGUAUAACGGGUAUCCUAUGGAAAAAUAUGGAUUUUUAAAAAUUAUUAUCUUAUAGAUUUUAUUAAAUUAUUAAUAGAUUGGCCUAAAGUCGAAAAUAACAAAAAAAUAUUAUUUAAUUGAGAUUAAUUUAUUAAUAUCGUACUAUACUUAGUUGUUCUUUUUUCAAUGCAAAACAAAAUGACAGAUCAUAUAAAUGAACACUACUAGAAAAAUGGUCUUUACUGACUUUAGAAUAGUGUUAGAAAUUACUUUUACUGACACUUGUUAAUUGUGUCAGUAAUCUGGGAGUCAGAAAAAUAGUGACACUUGUAAGUGGUGUCAGUGAUUACUAUUACUACAGUAUCACCGAUAUUAUGACACCAUAGUGUUAGUAGUUAUUGAUAUUUUAUUAGUAUCUAUGGUUAUUGUUACCAUGAUAUCACUAGUUAAUUUAUUUUUUAAAAAGUAAAAAAUUAAAUUGGAUCAUUGCCUAUUGAUUUAUUUGUAAAAUUAAAAGCACCACAAAAUAAAAAAAGAAAUUGAUUUAUAUCACAAAAUCUUUCAUUUCACAUUUAAAUAUUAUUAGUAUAUAUUACAAAUUGAACUUCAAUAGCCAAAAUAUGAGAUAUCCUACUCUCAUAACUAAAUAAUCCAAAUUCAAUACAUAAAAAUUAGUCUCUGUCCCUAUCUGACCAACUUCCAUCAAAAUUAACCUCAUCACUUCUGCUUUCACUGUGAUAAUUGGAGCGCCUCCGACUCCAAGUUGUUUCAUGAACUUGACGUUCAUCAUCAUGGCUUCUGCCAGAACCACUUUUCACAAUAUCAGCCUCCCUUGAUCUGGACCUUCUGUAAUGAUGCCUGCAUAAGAAAUUACAAAACCAUAAAUAACCAGAAGAUUUCUAACAUCAGCAGUAAAUACAUUAACUAAUGAAAUUUGAUCAUAGUUUGGAUCAUCAUCCUUUGUACAUAAGAUUGCAAUGCUACAUCACCAAAGGCUUCUUGUUGAAUCUAAUUAUUUUCUUGCCAUGCUUGCAACAUGGUCAUUACGCCACAUACUAAUCAUACAUUUUUGAAAGUGGGUUUUAAACUCGAACAAUAGACCAAAAAAACCAACAGAAAAACUUUCUUUAAAUCUUGCAUUGUGAGAACAUCUUUUCAUUAUUCAUUGCUUCUAAGAAAACCGAGUUAGGAGACUUGAAGAAAACACAAAUGAAGAGAACGAUACUAUGAAGAAACCUCUCAAAAUCAUUGGUCAAACAUGGAAGUUUAAACUAAAAAAUUCAAAUAACAGAAAGUGAAUUAAAUAAACAAGAGUUCAUAUAUACUAAGUACAGUUUUUAGUGUCUAUGACUAGUAAUAAAAGCAUACCUGUCGGCAUUAGUUGAAUCUAUUUUGUUCCUCGUUUGUCCUGAGCGUUCUUGAUUCCAGGUCCCAGAUUCAUCAGAAUAACCAAAUAAAGCAGUCAUCUUUUUCACCCAAUAUCUCGGAGGUGGUUUAUCCCAAUCAGCCCAUUCAUAGUCUCCGCUAGGGUUGGGAAAAUAGUGGAUAAAAUUGCAAGCCAUUCCACAAGAGCAUGUCUGUUAAAAUAUGCCCAACAAAGAUAACAAGAGUGUAAAAAAAAGAAGAAAAGAAACAAACUCAUUUAAUAUCAAAAGCAAAAUGGCAAAGAAAAAAGCAAGUGUAUAAGCCGCACAAUUAUAACUCUGAAAAAUGAGACAAUUGGCUGUACAUUUAGUCUUGACUUCAUAUAUUCCCCACAUAUGGCAAUCUUCCAUCUAGUCACAUUAAUAAAUUCACAUGUGAUCUGUCAAGAAACACACAAAUAAAUAAACCAUCACUAUCCAGAAAAUGACAAGCUGUAAAAUUCAGUAAACAGUAAUGUGUUGAUUACAAUUUAAGCAUGGAGAAAAAUUUCAGAUUAGACUAUGUCAACAGUGUCCAUAGAUAGUUAAAAGAUGGGAGACUGUGCUGGCGUUCACUAAGCAUAUAAUUUUUCACAGCUUAACCCAUUGCAAUUUUACCAGUGUCAAGUCUAAAGGAAACUAGUCAGGAAUCUUCUGUAAAGUAAAUAAAUAGUGAAACAACUGUUCUCAUAGCAAUAAAAUGAAAUUAUUUUAAUAAUUUUCUUCAACUUUCAGACCAAUUAAACAAGUGAAGCAAUUUUAGUACAAUGCACAGCAAUUUAAGCUGAAUGGACAAUUGGAAAAAUUACGGAACAACUAGACCCCAACGAAUACUACAAAAACAACCCUUAAACAAUGACUUAAGAAAGUAGAAGCUUCUCCUAGAUCAUGCCUUUUCAAUCUCCCUUUGCUAAGAAAACUGCCCUAGUAUUUAAGACUAUCCAAAUCCUAUCAACAUGUUGGGACAUUUAAAUACAGCCUCCAAGAAGACAUGCUGUAAGCUUUACAAUUGAAGUCUGUCGAAUAAACCAAAUCUUAUACCCAAUGCCAAGAGCUUUAAUUCAAUCCAUUUUAACAGGCACCAAUUACCAGGAAUGCAGGCAGACAAAGAGGAUCAAAAUGACAGGAUAUCAGUAUUCUAGAAUUUCUAUCAGAAACAUGAAAAGUGGCAAGGCCUAUUCACUGAGAGCCAAACAUUUUUUACAUAGUAGUUACUUUAUAUAAAACAAAUAAAUAUAAAGUAGAAAGUAAGCUCCAACAAUUCUUCACAAAGACCUGUUUCCCAGCAAAGUAACGACCAUUGACAGAAUGGUAAGCGAGAACAGCUGAUUCCAGCGACUUAUAGUGAACAUAGACAUUUCCUCUUAAGUGGGAAGAACCAUUUCUACACACCUGCAAAUAUUUGUUAGUUAGUAAAUGAAGAGCACCAACAACAUGUGUCAGUAAAUAGGUGUUGUGGCAAAUAAUCCUAAACCUUCCAAAGUAAUGACCAUUGUUAGAUGACCAGCUCUGACAAUCGACGAUACAUAGUAUAUUCCACAAGAAACUACUAGUUGUUAAGGAGAAAUUUUUAACUCAAACAGAGUUGUACAGUUAUGUGACUAGUGAGAGAGAGAAAGAAAGAAAGAAAUAACGAAAGAAAGAAAGAGAAAUAAGCCAAACAUAUAAACAAGAAAUUUCAUAAUAGCUAAAAUCAUUUGCAGCAUGUAGGAUACAUAAUAGCUCAUAGCCUUCACUCUUACCCAAUCAAGGCCAACACUAUGAAUCUCCAUCAUUAUGAAAACAUAAAUCUCUGAUUUCACAUAGUCAAAGAAAAGAAAUAAAAUGUGAACUCAAAAGAACUCACCAGUGAUACUAUCUAGAAUAGUUAUAAACACAUUACAAUAUAUCAACUGGAAAAAUAUUUUUCUGUAUAAAAAGCAUCUUCUAUAUAGCAAGGACAAUGCGUAUAUAAAAUGAUCCAACAAAUUGCACAAAAGUAUAGAAGUUUGGAAGAGUCCUUAUCAGGAUACAAGAAUCAGCAAUUACAUACCUCGAGCCUCUCAUCUUGCUCCCAAGCAAGCCCGAGACCAUUAUACAUAUUCUUGAUGAGCAAAGUGCACGAUUUAUCAGGGUAAAAAUGAACUAUGUUGCAUCUCUGACCAAACCGACAAGCUCCAAUCUUUAAAUGGAAAGGACAAUAAGCUUUAUCCUGCCAUAUAUAAUAAAAACAUGAUUGACCAUGAUAAAUAGGCAAAUAUAAUAGAAAUGAAAUAUAAUACAGUAAUUGCAAAUUGAAAAUUUCAGAUAGACAGAUUGAAAGAAAAGGCAUGCAUGUUCAGUUCCAAAAUUGGGCACUUGUUGAGCAACAGUCUCCAACGCCUGUUGUGCAUUCUGGUGAUCAGCAAAGGCUUCUGAUUGUGGGGGCCGAGGAUUUGAUGUAGGCCUAUCAACAUCCUGCAAAAGGAAGUAAUAACGUAGAAAGUUUAAUUUUUGCCAUAACCGAAGAGAAUGGGCAUCCUGAAGUAAAGUAGAAACAAGCCUAACAUAGUUGUCAAUAGAGUCAAAAUUACCUCCUUUUUACUUAGUGGGUUCGCAUCCUUCUUCGGAACUCUAACCUUUUUCUUCCUAAUAAUAAUCUCAUUUCCUUGCCAUAUAAUUUCUGCAGGCCCUUCUUCAACAUAUUCCCAAUCAUCAUCCUCAUCACAUUCAUUCUCCUUUUGCCUCCAAAUUCGCGAUGCUCCGAGAACAUGCCGUAGCUGGUGAGCAAGCGGAGGAUAUGUUGCAAGUUCUCGGCGUCCCCACCGCCGGAUGGGAGGAUAUGUGUCAAGAUCUAGGAGGCAGAGAGAGGGGUGUUGGCCCCAACUUGCCAGAUGGCAUCCGGUACGUGGAGACGGAUGGCAGCGGUUAGAGACAUGGGAACGCUUAUCAUGUUGGCUAGCUCCAUUAUGGCCAGUCUUACCUUCUUCCCGCCAUCUCUGCACUCGUUAUCUUCCAUUACUGCUUACUGACCUUUGAUUUCACAGCACCAUGCCGGCCAAACAAAAAGAUAAGACCUGAGCACUUUUUGACAAUUUGGAUGUUAGGGAUUUUUCAGAUCUGGGGAGCUUAGGAGGGAACGAAUGCUUUGUUAGAGGGAGUUGAAAAGUUGUAUUUUGGAUAAGGUAAGACUUGUGCAUUUGUUUUGUUUUUAUCCACUCAAAAAGUAUAACUCUAAAAAAAUUAAAAAUAAUUCGUAGCCUAGUGGUCUUUUGAUUUAAUGUAGAAGCUCUAGGUUUAAGAGGUCUUGGGUUCGAAUUCAGACUAAAACAAAAUUAAAAUGAUAAUUUUUAAUUGCUGAUACCUAAGCGUCAUUGAUCGCUAUUACUAAAGCUAUUGAUACUUCAGUAUUAGUAAUUAGUGAUACAUAUUUGUUAAACGUGGAAAAUGAUCCAAAUAUAUGUAUAUACUGAUACUUUUAAAUAAAGUGUCAGAACAUAAGUAUCAGUAAAAACCAUUUUUCUAAUAGUGGAAGCGACAUGUGGCUUAGUUCAAUUUCUUUCUUAAUUAAUUUAAUGAGGAUAUGGUAAAAGCAAAAUAAAAAGAUCAUUAGCUCUAAGGCCUAAUUUAUACAAAAUGAUUAAUAACAUAAAAGUAAGUGAUCAAUCAUCCUAGCUGUAUGUUAGGGAUUCAUCUUCCAAUAUAUAUGUAUGUUAUAUUGGCAAUGAUUUUGCCAUAUAUAAAUGUCAUUAUGGACAUUAGCCAAAUAUAUCUUGAUUUGGAAAGAGUCCUUUAUGUGAAUUCUUAUCACACAUUUCAUAUUUAUUGUCGAUAGAACUAUAGACUAUGCUAUAGAUGUAUGAAUUCAUAUUUCUAAUAAAGUUUAUAUUGUUAUAUAGAUGUAGAGAAAAAUUUUGGACGUCUGCACGAAUUUAAUUUCAUUUGAAUUUAGAAGUUCAUAAUAUUGUGAAACUCUAAAUUUGCCCAAAAAUUCAUGGGGACGUUCGCAGUAGAAAAGGACUCUAAAUGUAAUUAAUAUGAGUAAUAAUAUAAUCACAAACUCUUGUACAAAUUUAUUUCGUACAAACUGAUGUGUCAUGAUAAAAUUGGUUGAAUUAAAUAUUUCUGGACCCACAUGAUCUAUUUUUAUUAUUUUGUAUUUUCAUUCAACCAAUGAAUUAAUGCCAAAUCAGUUUGUACAAGAUAAAUUUGUACAAAAGUUUGUGGUUGUAUCAUCACUCAAUUAAUAUCUGCGGCAAUGCAUACAUUGUGUCCCAUGGUUAAAUUUUUAUUUUAUGGUUUCCACUGUGAGAAGAGAAUUUUCGUCCCAUAAAGAAGAGAACGAGGAAAAAGAAAAAGAAAGAAGUUCAAAACUGCAGCGUAAUCAAUAGAAGCUGACAUAAACAUUUCUACACAAGUACACACGGUAAAUCUCAGAUAGCAAGCCAAAGAUAUUAGUCUUAGUCGCUGCUAUCAUUUUAUUCCAUAUUUAUACAGAAGAGCCAUGUCACUUUAUUGAUGAUAUUAUUAUUUAUUAUAAUUUUUAUAUGACAUGGUUCUUCAAGGCUAGUUUAGAACUAUAUUGGGAUCGCCAGGUUUUGCUUCUUGAUAGAAGAAGGCGGCAGCGGGAAUGUUGUGAAGGUCCAAUCAAGCACCUGAUGGCUUUCUGCUCUCCCGAGCCCUGUAGAUGCCGUGAAGCCAACAUAGACUGAGCUUAGAACUGUUUCUGACAUGACAAUAGGUCUUUCAAUCAACUUCUGAAGUGGGUUCCCCGCAUCAUAUGCCACAUAAACACAGAGUAUUUUCGUUCAUCCAUCGUAAUAAACUUGAACCUGGAUCGGUCUUCCACUUUUGAGAUCAAUGCCAAAGCUGUCGAGACUCUUAGCUGGAUCUGAUAUUAAGCUUGCUAUGUCGAUGCCGAUAUGGUUAUUAUCUGGAUCAUUUUUAUUUUUGUUCUUGAAUGUGUCCAGCUCCACGGCUAAUAUCGAACCAUUGUUACCUACAUAUAUAAUUUUCAUAUGCAUUAUAUAUAUAUAUAUAUAUAAAAUUAUCUCAAGAAGGUUUCCGCACAUUAUUUGGUGAGGGCUCCCCACCAUAUGCUACUAUUACAACACCCGCCAUAUUAGGGGUGUUCAGAAUCCAAUCCGAUCCGCCUAAUCCGUCCGAUCCGCUCAAUUCGAUCCGUAUAAAUCCAAUCCGUGGAUUGGUGGAUUGGAUAUGGAUUGAAAAUUUAAAAAUCCGCAGUCGAUGGAUUGGAUAUGGAUUUACUUCUGUAAAUCCGCAGAAAUCCGUGAAUCUGCAAAAAAAAUAAAUAAAUAUAUAAUUAAAAAUUAUUAUAAAUUUAAUUAAAAAAAUUUAUAAAUGUGACAUUACAUAGUUACAUAAGCACUAUAACAUAUCUUAGCCAUUACCCAACAAUAAUAUAAAAUAAAAAAUAAUUAAAUAAUCAAAUAUAACUUGUAAAAAUUGUAAAACAAAAUAAAAGCAAAGUCACACGCACUAGCAAAAGCAAAGUAACAUAACGCCAAGUCACCAACAAUUUGCAAAGUCACCCAAAAGCAAAGUAACAUGACGGCAAGUCACCAACAAUUUGCAAACAAAAAACCCUAAGCUUUCCCGCCGUCACACACACUAGCAACACUCGAUACUGGUUGGAUACACUCUUGACACGAAUUUGAAGGACAUCGGCCGCUGAUUUCGGCGAGAACAAGCCAUCUUCUUUCCCAAGUCCAUCGAGCCACUUCACAUUCACUGGUUCCAGCUGAACAAUUUCACUAUCACAACCUUCAAGAUCGCCACCCAUACGGCUUCUUCUGAUUCCCAUCGUGGACGGCUCUGUAAUCACCACUUUUCGACAGGCGCAACAACCCUGAUGAAGGAUCAGACUGUAUUUGGUUCCCGAAACUUCGCCAUUUCAAUUAAUUGUGGCUUUAUUCGAACAAUUAAUUUCGAUGUUAUAUUAACGUAUUAUUAUAACUUUAUUUGAACAAUUAAGCUUGAUGUGUUAUAUUUUGAAACUUUGAACGUAUUAUUGUAGCUUUAUUUGAAUAAUUAGUCUCGAUGUGUUAUAUUUUGAAACUUUAAAUGUAUUGUUUUAGCUUUAUUUAAAUAAUUAAUUAAUUUAAAUUUUAUUAAAUUUUAAAUUUAAUUGGUAACAAAAUUAUUUUUAUAUUAGAUUUUUUUUAUUUCAUUAGUUGGAGAGAACUGAAAAUUUUUAUUUCGAAAACUAAUGCGCAAAAUGGUGGAUUGGAUAUGGAUUGAGUCAAAUCCGCAUCCGAUCCGCAGACGUAUGGAUUGGAUAUGGAUUGAGUCAAAUCCGCAUCCGAUCCGCAGACGUAUGGAUUGGAUAUGGAUUGAGUCAAAUCCGCAUCCGAUCCGCAAAUGUAUGGAUUGGAUUUGGAUUGAAUUUUAUCAAUCCGUGGAUUGGAUUGGCUUGGAUUGAAAAAUUAUAAUCCGCAAAAUCACGGAUCAGAUAUGAAUUGAUGUCCAAUCCGUAAAAUCCGAUCCGUGAACACCCCUACGCCAUAUGGUAUAACAACAUUUCUUCAUUUUAAUAAAGCGUAGAACUCUCAUUAUAUAGUUCUUAUUCAAUAAGGACAUCUUUAUUUUGUUAAAGUGAAAAUAUUACUAAAAUAUAAAAAAUUUUAAUAUAUUAGAUACUGUAUUUUUUUAUUUGUUAAUAUAUUAAAAUAUGUAUUAUGUUUGUCUAUUAAUGGCAUCCAUAGUUUAUUAAAACGAGGUUGUAUUCAAUAAUAAUAAUAUACACGCAUAUAUAUCAUCAUAUUGUUUAUCAGUACUGUUAUUAUAUAUAUUAUUCGCCUAUGCAAGCAUCAAGUAUGUGUCAUUACUUUAUCUGUGUUAAUUCUUAAUUAUUCACAUUUGAUCAUCAUAGCCGAUGUAGUCAGUCCAAGAUUUCCGAAGCCGCUGUUUGGUGGUGAAGGGCUGCUAUCGGGUGUAAGAACAAACGUCAUGCCUUCUACCGAAUCCGUUGUAUUUGGGUAGGGUGAGAUCCUAAUGGUGAAGGUGGUACUAAUCAUAGCUGGCCAUGCAGUCACAGGCUGGCUGUAUAAAACCCGUCCAACCUUAUUUAGCGGCAGCUGAUCUGGCGAUUCUGGUGAAG
rnacentral:lncRNA from 1 species